UGGGGAAUCUUGCACAAUGGGGGAAACCCUGAUGCAGCGACGCCGCGUGAGCGAUGAAGCCCUUCGGGGUGUAAAGCUCUUUCGGCAGGGACGAUAAUGACGGUACCUGAAGAAGAAGCUGCGGCUAACUACGUGCCAGCAGCCGCGGUAAUACGUAGGCAGCGAGCGUUGUUCGGAGUUACUGGGCGUAAAGAGUGCGUAGGCGGCGGCCCAAGUCUGGUGUGAAAUCUCCCGGCUCAACCGGGAGGGUGCGCCGGAAACUGGGUUGCUUGAGUACUGGAGAGGCAGGCGGAAUUCCUGGUGUAGCGGUGAAAUGCGUAGAUAUCAGGAGGAACACCCGUGGUGUAGACGGCCUGCUGGACAGUCACUGACGCUGAGGCACGAAAGCGUGGGGAGCAAACAGGAUUAGAUACCCUGGUAGUCCACGCCCUAAACGAUGCAUACUUGGUGUGGGCAGGUUCAGUCUGUCCGUGCCGAAGCUAACGCG
rnacentral:rRNA from 1 species